CAACCCUCAAGCUCCGCUUGGUGUUGGGCCCUGCCCGCGCGGCCGGCCCCAAAGACAGUGGCGGCGCCGUCUGGCUCUAAGCGUAGUACAACUCUCGCUCUGGAGCCCGGCGGUGUCCUGCCAGAACCCCAAACUUCUAU
rnacentral:misc_RNA from 1 species